UUCUUCCAGGCUGUUGGUUCUCCGUAGGGCCGGGGCGUGGAGGAUAAGAGAGGACGAGAGGAGCGGCGGAGUGUGAAAACACAGGGCGGGAGUAAUAAAGCACGGUGAUCUGUUGGCUUGUUCCUCGAGACUGCAGGUCAAGCACACAGCAGAGGAGUGGCCAUUUUCAACAGAUAUUUUUCAUUGCUUCGGUUUAACGGGGAAAUCUGGGAAUUGAAUCUUGAAAUGGGAGAUUCCUCAGGCUUUUACAAACGAGGCCAUACCAGCGCAGGCAAUGAAGAGACGAGGCUUCUCACAAGACACACUGGCGGGGGUAACAGAAAGUCGUGAGUGUCGGGAAUGUAAAAGAGAAACGCCGACAAGAUGCACUCCAUAGCACCAUCUCCAAGCUCAACGGCAGUCGUGUGAAAAGCGUCCAGCCACGGUAUAUCCUCAUUGCUGUGUUAUGUUCCCUCCCUCACCAAACAAAAGCACAUGGGGUGUAACACGACUUUCGGGUUCCAGCGUUGCGUUUCAGUCCGCUCUGCUUCGCUCCCACACAGUAGUGUUACCUAUCGCAUGGUGUUUUGGUCUGUCAAUUACUGUCACCCAGUGUGACCACUUACUUCGUCAUUUGCUAACACGCAUGACUAUUUCUACGUCUAAAAAUACACUAAAGUGUUCUGUUAGUAAGUGCCGUACUAAAAAAAAGUCACGUCCGACUUAUGACUCAUUGAACUCGAAACUCUUGUUUGAAUGAGCAGGAAAUACUUCAGUGGAAGGGAAAUGGCAAUAACUAUUUGGACUUUAAUGAACCAUGUGUGAUAAAGGAUGAAAGAAAACCAUUACAGCGGUAUUUUGGAGACCUUUUGUAUUUCAUUGACAAGAUGUCGUCUCUGGAGUAGAGAUCCAAGAGUUUGACUCUACACACACCCACUCACAUACAAUCCUCGUAUACAUACGCAGCUGCUAGCUAC